CCUACGGGAGGCAGCAGUAGGGAAUCUUCCACAAUGGGCGAAAGCCUGAUGGAGCAACGCCGCGUGGGUGAAGAAGGUCUUCGGAUCGUAAAACCCUGUUGUUAGAGAAGAAAGUGCGUGAGAGUAACUGUUCACGUUUCGACGGUAUCUAACCAGAAAGCCACGGCUAACUACGUGCCAGCAGCCGCGGUAAUACGUAGGUGGCAAGCGUUAUCCGGAUUUAUUGGGCGUAAAGGGAACGCAGGCGGUCUUUUAAGUCUGAUGUGAAAGCCUUCGGCUUAACCGGAGUAGUGCAUUGGAAACUGGGAGACGUGAGUGCAGAAGAGGAGAGUGGAACUCCAUGUGUAGCGGGGAAAUGCGUAGAUAUAUGGAAGAACACCAGUGGCGAAAGCGGCUCUCUGGUCUGUAACUGACGCUGAGGUUCGAAAGCGUGGGUAGCAAACAGGAUUAGAGACCCUUGUAGUC
rnacentral:rRNA from 1 species